UUGAGAAAGAUGGAGAGAAAAUGAGAGAUAAACAGAGAUAUAGUGAGAUUUUGGAGGAUUAACUUGUUUCUUCAUCAGAUUUUGAUCUCAGUAAACAGGUGCAUAUAUUUGGCUUCACGUCUCUCUUCCUCUACCGCAACUAUUAUGCUCUGGAAGGAAGUGAAGGCACACCAUUUACAGGAAGAUUGAGUUUCCUCCGGAGUACCCAUUCAAACCACCAGGAAUCAGGUAUUAUUUAAGAACAAGGAAAGUAGAGAAAAAAAAACAUGCCAGAAGGGAGGAAAGGUAAGCUCAGCAUGGAGGGUAAGCUGUAGCGAAAACAGUGUGAGUCAACAUGCACUUUUCCACCUUCUUCUUCUGCCAUUGUUGUGAUUUAUGUCAAGAAGCGAGAGAGCUGCGACUUAGUCUCCACAUCACGGGUUUAAUGCUAGGCCCGUCUAUGUUAUGAUGCCUCCAUCAGAGCAGAUGGUGAUGCUUGAAAUAUGUGACCCCAUGCGAUGUGCUGGCAACCUCCUACCCAAGAAUUGAUUUGUUAAGAGUUUACGUGGAAAUGAAUGGAUGCUUCACCUCAUAUUUAUGAGCUAGGGAUUGGUAAAGAGAAAGCUGCAUGUAUUACUCAAGAUGUUCAACGAGCAACAUGGAAAAUCAUUGAUGUGUAGGUAAGUCGAAUUUACUCUUUGGAUUUGACUAGGAAUAAGUUCAGUCUCGAAACCAAGUUGUUGUGUGGGCUACUAGGAGUUUGAAAGUUGAAAUUGAAAUAAGCAAACCUCAGAUUUGGGACAAUCUUGGUUAAGAAAGGUUAACUGCUAAACCAACCUCUACAAAUACGGCUAUUAAUCAACUAGAGCUUGGCGUGGUUGAUAGUUUUGUUUAUCUGUGUAGACUAGAGUGGUUGUUGGCUACCAAGCAUGUUGGAAU